UGUCGGCGACCGGCGCACGGGUGCGUAACGCGUAUGCAACCUACCCAUUACAGGGGGAUAACACUGAGAAAUCGGUACUAAUACCCCAUAACAUCCAGGGAGGCAUCUUCUUGGGUUGAAAACUCCGGUGGUAAUGGAUGGGCAUGCGUUGUAUUAGUUAGUUGGUGGGGUAACGGCUCACCAAGACAACGAUACAUAGGGGGACUGAGAGGUUAACCCCCCCACAUUGGUACUGAGACACGGACCAAACUCCUACGGGAGGCAGCAG
rnacentral:rRNA from 1 species